UUAAAUGAAUUGACGGGGAGCACCACAACGGGUGGAGCUUGCGGUUUAAUUUGGGAUUCAACGCCGGAAAUCUUACCGGGACCGACAGCAAUAUGAAGGCCAGGCUGAAGACUUUGCCGGAUUAGCUGAGAGGUGGUGCAUGGCCGUCGUCAGUUCGUACUGUGAAGCAUCCUGUUAAGUCAGGCAACGAGCGAGACCCACGCCCACAGUUGCCAGCGUACUCUCUGGAGUGACGGGUACACUGUGGGACCGCCGCUGCUAAAGCGGAGGAAGGAAUGGGCAACGGUAGGUCAGUAUGCCCCGAAUAUCCCGGGCUACACGCGAGCUACAAUGGUUGGUACAAUGGGUAUCUACCCCGAAAGGGGACGGGAAUCUCCUAAAACCAAUCUUAGUUCGGAUUGAGGGCUGCAACUCGCCCUCAUGAAGCUGGAAUCCGUAGUAAUCGCGUUUCAACAGAACGCGGUGAAUACGUCCCUGCUCCUU
rnacentral:rRNA from 1 species